GUGAUGGCCUCAGCAACACAUAUACUAAAAGUGGAAUGUUACAGAGAAGAUUAGCAUGGGCCCUGCACAAGGAUGACAUGCAAAUUCAUGAAGCAUUCCAUAUUUAA
ensembl:snRNA U6 U6 spliceosomal RNA